rnacentral:misc_RNA from 1 species
ACAUUUUCCUAAUAAUUCAAUUGCAAAAAAGUUAUAAUUACUUGUACCAUCAUUGCACUUGCUAGUCUGCUUUUAUUUUACACAUUUCUGUUGUUAGUAAAGUGCCUGUUUCACAAGAGAACCGGGAAAUAUGGUGUAAAAUGAGAUUAUAGUUUGAGAAAUGCUUACAGUUCUUGAAAAUGACAUUAUGGUCAUGCAAACUUGAAACAGGAUGUAAUAGUGUGUGAGACUUGGAAAUUGGGAUAAAAUGUAACAGUACUUACAUGGAUUUUAACUGUUGGUUGG